rnacentral:lncRNA from 1 species
GUCCGGUGCCGAGGUGUGGCCCGAGCCUGGCACCGCCCACGCCGGCCGGGUGACCCCGGCCCCUUGGGGCUCCCGCGCUCCGUCAGCAGGCGACGCUGGGAGGCUGGGGUAGGCCCAGAGCGAGGACGGGCCCGGACUGGGUAGUGGGGAUGUACCAGGGCCGGGUGCGGCGGGAGACGGCCCGGGAGGCGGGAGGUCGCGGACCUGCCCGACAGAAGAGUAGAUGAGGGGAGACCGAGGACGCCCGGGUCCGGGGAGCGUACGAGGAGGCCGGGAUCGCGGGUUCACGUGGGCACCUUGGAACACUGAAGAAGGCAUUUUCCGAACUCACUGUCCUACGGACUUAUUCUCCGCACUGUUUUCGCCUCCUUCGCCCUGUUCUCGUGACUGACAGCAGCAGGGGUCACAAGCAGGCAGCCCGAGAGCUCUGCUCACCUGGAAAAGCAUUUUUGUGUAGCUUAAAUGUGAAGGCCUCAGGCAGUGGCCUGGUGUCCUCCUCCACAUGCGCCCAUCUUCGCUCUUUCAUGUGACUGGCCUGUUUUUGAAGGCAGGACCCUGUCACCCUUGGCUAGGCCAGGUCUUAAGAUACGAAGACAAUGGGAUAACUGAGGCUGAUUUUGCUGUGUGGCCAUUAGACCUGGAAAUAUUGGUGUGAUUCUGGAGUUGAUUGCUCCACACGUUUGUUUAUUUAUUUAUUUUCCUUUUUUUCCCUCCUCUUCCUCCUCUAUUCUUUAAAAACGUAUGGAAAUGUAUCCGGCAAUGUUUACUGUAAAAAAUAAUGUAUGGAAAUGACUACAAUUUGCUAAAAUAAAAAUCAUUGAGCA